rnacentral:piRNA from 2 species
UUCAGCUGCACAAGGAUAUGAUUGGA